AUUGAACGCUGGCGGCAGGCCUAACACAUGCAAGUCGAACGAGUCGCGGGCGGGUGAGUAAUGUCUGGGAACCGUCCUGAUGGAGGGGGAUACCUACUGGCAACGGAAACUACUACCGCAUUCCAUCGGCUGUGCCCGGAUGGGAUUAUGUAGUGGUUGGGGUAAAGCCUCACCUAGGCGACGAACCCUAGCUGGUCUGAGAGGAGGACCAGCAACACUGGAACUGAGACACGGUCCAGACUCCUACGGGAGGCAGCAGUGGGGAAUAUUGCACAAUGGGAGCAAGCCUGAUGCAGCCAUGCCGCGUGUAUGAAGAAGGCCUUCGGGUUGUAAAGUACUUUCGGCAGGGAGGCGUUACCCGCAGAAGAAGCACCGGCUAACUCCGUGCCAGCAGCCGCGGUAAUUC
rnacentral:rRNA from 1 species